GAAUUUAUAUAUAAUUGUUUGACAAAUGUCAUUGCAUGAAAAGGUAAAAGAUAAGUGGUCUUACUACCCAAAAUGUGUGACAAAUGAAGAUAGCCACGUUGCAAUCAUUCAUAAGGAUAGAAACAUGCACUUAUGGCUAUAAAUAGCCUUCAUUAGCCAUUUAUUCUAAUCAUCUCAAAUCUUCUCAUACGUCCUUCUUCCUUCUAAUUCCUUUUCUAUAAUAUUUAAUUAGCAUUACACACUACUUGUUCUUCCUUUUUCUUUCUACUAGCUGGAUUUGUAAUUUUAUAUUUUGUUGAUUCAUGUAUCCUCUUAAAUAGAGUUAGACUUAUUUAAUCCUGGGGAGACAUUUCAUACUGUUGAAAUAGUUUUUUAGGACAGUGCCUAGCACGACUCAAGUCAACCCGUGUAUCCGCUUACAAAGAAUAUUAUAGCAGUGUUAUUAUUGAAACUUUUGCUCUCACUUCCUACAAUCUAAGAAACUAUGACAAACAACACUGAUGCAUAAAAUACUACUGAUACUACCAAUAUUGGCGCUACCUCUGCUGUUCCAACCCUAGUUGCACUACCAUAUGCCAGGCCAUUUCCAGAUGUGUCAAAAAUUGAAAUUUUCGCCAAUGAAAAUUUCAAGCGUUGGCAAGAACGUAUUUUCUCACUGCUUGAUAUCCAUGUUAUAAGGAAGCAAAAGGUACCUCGGAAGCCUUAAUUAAAAAAUUCACUGCUGAAAAUGCUGCAAAACAAAAAUUUGUAGUAGAAAAUUUUUAUCAGUGGCAGUUGAGAGAUUUCAAAGAGAUGAACGUGUAAAUCAACGAAUAUCAAAAAUUGCUAGAAGAUUUGAAGACCGAGGGGAUGUCUUUACCAGAAAAGUUUGCUGCUGGAGUGUUGAUUGAGAAGCUGCCUGACUCAUGGGACUAUAAAAAUAACUUCAAGCACAAACAGAGAAAUUUCACCAUUGAGAAAAUUGUGACCCACAUCCUAAUUGAAGAUUCCAACCGAAAAGAGUCUGCCAAAGCUAGGAUGAUAGCUCUUAAAGCAAAUUUAGUGCAGAGCAGCAAUAACAACCGCAAAAGGUACGAGAAUAAGUCUCAAGGUUACAAGCCUAAAAAUUCUAACCUUAAAAGAAAAAAAGGCUCUUGUUUUAUUUGUGGAAAACCAAGCCAUCAUGCCUCACAGUGCAGGUACAAAGAAGGAAAUGACAAAGGAAAAACUAAUACUCCUAAGGCUAACUUAGCUUAAAGAGGUGAUAUUAUUGCAGCUGUCAUUUCUCAAGUAAACAUUGUAGCAUAUGCAAAAGAAUGGGUGGUAGACUCCGGGGCUACUCGGCACAUAUGUGCAAAUCGAGAAGCAUUUUCCUCUUAUACUCCUGUAGAGGAUGAUAGAGAAGAGGUCUACCUUGGAGACUCAAGUACUACGAAAGUCUUGGGUAAGGGUAAAGUUCUCCUGAAACUCACUUCGGGAAAAACUUUAGCCCUUGUUGAUGUACUGCAUGUUCCUACUAUGGGGGCAAACUUGAUCUCUGUAUCCUUAUUGGGAAGAGCCGGAGUGAAAGUGUCAUUUGAAUCUGAUAAGAUCAUAAUGACCAAAAAUAAUGUGUUUGUGCGAAAGGGCUAUUGUAACCAAGGACUCUUUGUACUUAAUGUUUCUGAUGUUAUCAAUGGAAAUGUAUCUGCUUCUGUUUA